GCGGUUCCAGGCUGGGCCGGCGCAGGGGCAGAUCGCUGGGAUCUCACCUGGUGUCUGUGCAUGGGCUGGGACAGAGCCUUGAGAUGCUGGAACCAUUCAAACAUGAGCCUGGCAUUGUUCACUUGCUUUCCCCACAGGGUGAGGAGCUGGUGCCCCUGGACUGUGCCGCAGUCUCCAGGACAGCAGGAAUCUCUUGCUAAGUGGAAGAGGCUGAUGCUGCCAAGGCAAACUAAUGGACUGGUCACCUAGCGGAACAUGAUGGUGUCUCCCAAGGGG
rnacentral:lncRNA from 1 species